rnacentral:rRNA from 1 species
GACGAACGCUGGCGGCGUGCUUAACACAUGCAAGUCGAACGGAAAGGCCCUGCUUGCAGGGUACUCGAGUGGCGAACGGGUGAGUAACACGUGGGUGAUCUGCCCUGCACUUCGGGAUAAGCCUGGGAAACUGGGUCUAAUACCGGAUAGGAGCCAUUUUUAGUGUGAUGGUUGGAAAGUUUUUUCGGUGUAGGAUGAGCUCGCGGCCUAUCAGCUUGUUGGUGGGGUAAUGGCCUACCAAGGCGGCGACGGGUAGCCGGCCUGAGAGGGUGGACGGCCACAUUGGGACUGAGAUACGGCCCAGACUCCUACGGGAGGCAGCAGUGGGGAAUAUUGCACAAUGGGCGCAAGCCUGAUGCAGCGACGCCGCGCGGGGGAGGACGGACUUCGGGUUGUAAACUCCUUUCGCUAGGGACGAAGCUUUUUGUGACGGUACCUAGAUAAGAAGCACCGGCUAACUACGUG